CCCUUAGAUGUUCUGGGCCGCACGCGCGCUACACUGACGAAUGCAACGAGCUUAUAACCUUGGCCGAAAGGUCUGGGUAAUCUCCAAAUUUCGUCGUGAUGGGGAUAGAUUAUUGCGAUUAUUAAUCUUCAACGAGGAAUGCCUAGUAAGCGCAAGUCAUCAGCUUGCGUUGAUUACGUCCCUGCCCUUUGUACACACCGCCCGUCGCUCCUACCGAUUGAAUGGUCCGGUGAAGCGUUCGGACCGUGGCCUUUGGACGGUUCGCCGUCUGUUGGCUGCGGGAAGUUCGUUAAACCUUAUCAUUUAGAGGAAGGAGAANUCGUAACA
rnacentral:rRNA from 1 species